GACGAACGCUGGCGGCGUGCUUAACACAUGCCAGUCGAACGGAAAGGCUCCAGCUUGCUGGCGUACUCGAGUGGCGAACGGGUGAGUAACACGUGGGUAAUCUGCCCUGCACUCUGGGAUAAGCCUGGGAAACUGGGUCUAAUACUGGAUAUGACCUUUCUCCUUAUGGGGUUUGGUGGAAAGUUUUUCGGUGUAGGAUGAGCCCGCGGCCUAUCAGCUUGUUGGUGGGGUGAUGGCCUACCAAGGCGACGACGGGUAGCCGGCCUGAGAGGGUGAUCGGCCACAUUGGGACUGAGAUACGGCCCAGACUCCUACGGGAGGCAGCAGUGGGGAAUAUUGCACAAUGGGCGGAAGCCUGAUGCAGCGACGCCGCGUGAGGGAUGACGGCCUUCGGGUUGUAAACCUCUUUCAGCAGGGACGAAGCGUAAGUGACGGUACCUGCAGAAGAAGCACCGGCUAACUAGGUG
rnacentral:rRNA from 1 species